rnacentral:lncRNA from 1 species
UUCCAAUAAGAACCUCCACCGCCAUGGAUUGUGUUUGUUGAUACUUUCUUUAUUGUCCUCAAACUUUUUCUUUAAUUCGCUUCCACCACCACCAUCACUGUACUCGAUUUCUUCUAUACCUCAAACCCCCGUCUUUUGAAUAAAUCGAACCCGCAGGGGUUCUUGAUUUCUUUAUGUUGCUGUGUGGUGACACGAACAAAAAAAAAGAAGUGCAGCGCCUCUACCGUUCAAUUUCAUUUGUUGCCUGCUUCAAAUCAAGUCUUGCUUUGUCUCUCACAGGGGUUUAAGGUUGUUUAACCGGCCGGAACGGUCGUUGAAUGUCACGCGCACACGCACCCAGCGUCCACCGUCAUCAUUCGACUUCCCUAGAGACGGAAGAAAAAUCACCAUCAUCGCCAUCAAUGGUUGUCCUUUUCCCUACCUGAAACUAACAAUAAUCGCCUCUUAUGACGACGUAUGCACCUCUUCCUCUACAUCACACUUUAUCCAGGUGUUUUGUCGCCAAGAAUCACCACACACACUAGAAAUUCCCCUGUAGAAAAGCAUUCAUGUGAAUCCGUCUUCAUUUCCAAACCGUUGACCAAAAAAAUCAAGGUAUUAUGUCUGUUAAUUUACAUAAAGUGCAUCAUAUUCACAUAUAACCAAUUUGAUGAUGCUUGACCCCGUUUUCUUGCUUUAGCUCUCCAUUUCUUUCCAAGAACCUGUAAAUCACUUUACUCUCAUUGCCAUCAAACAUGUAUGAUAUACUCAGUGUAACAUUGAUCCUAUACUUUUCUUCUUAAUAGUAUUUAUUCUUAAUUUUAAGUAUCAUAGUCUCUUAUUAAAUUAAUAUUGGCUUUAGCUUUACCUCUUCUCUAUUGUGGGUUUUUCUAUAAUUGCUUGAUCAGUAAUCAUAAUUUGCGAUUUUGUACCGAUUCUUUGUAUUGGUAUUCACUCUUCAUCGUAAUUGAAUUUGGUUUGGCUUCCUUUUUUUUUUAAUUUCUUGUAGAUUGUAAACCUUUGUGAUCAGUUUUUGGGGAUUUGAUUAUAACUAUUUUCCAUUUGUAAUUUCUGCUUAAAGAAUGAUUGCAGGAAAGGCACACGACCUGUUUGAUAAAAUGCCUGAGAGAAGUGACUAGAUUUUAGGUUUCCUGGUGCUUAUUGUUGCUGCUUUAUUCAUUAUAGUUCAAAGUUCUCAGCAAUCAUAGAAGACAUUGGUUCACACUUUAUGUCCCUACAAUGUUGCAUCUACGUAAAAUGACAACUUUGCCCCUAAAAUCAUCUUUGAUAACCCUUUGUCCCUAGGUGUUAAAAUUCAUGUAAAAUGGCCAUUUUGCCUUUAAAAUCACCUUUCGUCAGGCUUUAAGUCACUGACAUGUUAUAUCAAAGGAGCAUCACAAUUACAUUUGUAUAUUUUUUUGUGUGUGUGAACUUUUUGGUCUUAAAUUUGGUUUGGACAUACAAACAUUUUUUACAAUAGAAUACCUUCUAACCCCCGCCGGGGGGGGAACUUUCCUAGUUUAUAUUAUUUUCAUGGACAAGGACUUUGUUGUUAACUUAAGUUAGGAAAUCUUUCUUUGAGUAGGGAAUUAAAUAAUACACUUAGGUAACGCCUGAUAUAUGGACCGAACAGGAUAGAACGAAACCGAAAAGGAC